GAUGAACGCUGGCGGCGUGCCUAAUACAUGCAAGUCGAGCGAACAGAUGAGGAGCUUGCUCCUCUGACGUUAGCGGCGGACGGGUGAGUAACACGUGGAUAACCUACCUAUAAGACUGGGAUAACUUCGGGAAACCGGAGCUAAUACCGGAUAAUAUAUUGAACAGCAUGGUUCAAUAGUGAAAGACGGUUUUGCUGUCACUUAUAGAUGGAUCCGCGCCGCAUUAGCUAGUUGGUAAGGUAACGGCUUACCAAGGCAACGAUGCGUAGCCGACCUGAGAGGGUGAUCGGCCACACUGGAACUGAGACACGGUCCAGACUCCUACGGGAGGCAGCAGUAGGGAAUCUUACGCGAUGGGCGAAAGCCUGACGGAGCAACGCCGCGUGAAUGAUGAAGGUCUUCGGAUCGUAAAACUCUGUUAUUAGGGAAGAACAAAUGUGUAAGUACCUAUGCACGUAUUGACGGUACCUAAUCAGAAAGCCACGGCUAACUACGUG
rnacentral:rRNA from 1 species